rnacentral:rRNA from 1 species
AACGAACGCUGGCGGCAUGCCUAACACAUGCAAGUCGAACGAUUGCCUUCGGGUGAUAGUGGCGCACGGGUGCGUAACGCGUGCGAAUCUGCCCUUAGGUUCGGAAUAACAGCUGGAAACGGCUGCUAAUACCGGAUGAUAUCGCGAGAUCAAAGAUUUAUCGCCUGAGGAUGAGCCCGCGUUGGAUUAGGUAGUUGGUGGGGUAAAGGCCUACCAAGCCGACGAUCCAUAGCUGGUCUGAGAGGAUGAUCAGCCACACUGGGACUGAGACACGGCCCAGACUCCUACGGGAGGCAGCAGUGGGGAAUAUUGGACAAUGGGCGCAAGCCUGAUCCAGCAAUGCCGCGUGAGUGAUGAAGGCCCUAGGGUUGUAAAGCUCUUUUACCCGGGAAGAUAAUGACUGUACCGGGAGAAUAAGCCCCGGCUAACUCCGUG